CGGAGGGUGCGAGCGUUGUCCGGAAUCACUGGGCGUAAAGGGCGCGUAGGCGGCCUGAUAGUAGGGGUGAAAUCCUGCGGCUUAACCGCAGGGCUGCCUUCUAAACUGUCAGGCUCGAGCACAGUAGAGGCAGGUGGAAUUCCCGGUGUAGCGGUGGAAUGCGUAGAGAUCGGGAAGAACAUCAGUGGCGAAGGCGGCCUGCUGGGCUGUUGCUGACGCUGAGGCGCGACAGCGUGGGGAGCAAACAGGAUUAGAUACCCUGGUAGUCCACGCCGUAAACGAUGGGCACUAGGCGUCGGGGGGAGCGACCCUCCCGGUGCCGUCGCUAACGCAGUAAGUGCCCCGCCUGGGGAGUACGGCCGCAAGGCUG
rnacentral:rRNA from 1 species